rnacentral:rRNA from 1 species
GACAGAGGUGCCAAGCGUUAGGCGGAAUCACUGGGCUUAAAGCGUGUGUAGGCGGAUCGUUAAGUACCUUGUGAAAUCCCACGGCUCAACCGUGGAACUGCUCGGUAUACUGGCGGUCUUGAGCCACCUAGGGGCUACUGGAACAACCGGUGGAGCGGUGAAAUGCGUAGAUAUCAUUUGGAACGCCAACGGUGAAAACAGGUAGCUGGGGGUGUGCUGACGCUGAGACACGAAAGCCAGGGGAGCGAACGGG